rnacentral:rRNA from 1 species
GACGAACGCUGGCGGCGUGCUUAACACAUGCAAGUCGAGCGGUAAGGCCCUUUCGGGGGUACACGAGCGGCGAACGGGUGAGUAACACGUGGGUGACCUGCCCUCAGCUCUGGGAUAAGCCUGGGAAACCGGGUCUAAUACUGGAUAUGACUCCAUGACGCAUGUUGUGGGGUGGAAAGCCUUGUGCGGCUGAGGAUGGGCCCGCGGCCUAUCAGCUUGUUGGUGGGGGAUGGCCUACCAAGGCGACGACGGGUAGCCGGCCUGAGAGGGCGACCGGCCACACUGGGACUGAGACACGGCCCAGACUCCUACGGGAGGCAG